CCGAGUUCUCGGGCUUCGGCUCGAAUCUCCCACCCUUUGUUUAACAACCUCUGUUGCUUUGGCGGCGCGCCCCCCCGGGGCGCCCGCCAGAGGACCAUCAAACUCCAGUCAGUGAACGUCGCAGUCUGAAAACAAGUUUAAUAAACUA
rnacentral:misc_RNA from 1 species